GCACCAGUGGUCUAGUGGUAGAAUAGUACCUCCCCAUGAUACAGAUCGGGGUUCGAUUCUCGGUUGGUGCA
rnacentral:tRNA from 1 species